AGACAGCACACGUACGUCUGCCCGACGUCGGCUCAAGAGCGUACGUCGGCCUCAUUAUUUGAAACAUCUAAUAAGUAUCGGCCAGGCAUCGGCCAAAUCUUCAGUCAAGUCAACGGUAUUUCCUGCUCAUCAAGCUUGUCUGUUACGUCGGCUUUGGGUCGGAUAACUAUACCGGAGGCCGAUGCCGCGCUUGUUUCCUUCUCUCUGUUGGUGUGUGCCCAGUUAUUCCACCCUUUGCAACCACCAGAGCAAAGGCGACAUUAUGGGUCUGCUAAGUUCCAUUAUUCCGAAGCAGAAGGGGGCAGUAAUGUACAUACGCUGGUUGCCAGCCGCCGUUAAUACUCAAGUAAGUUAGAGAAAAUGCAAUUGGGGAAAGUGAGGAAAAAUAAGGGAUUAUUGGCUUGUUUUACACGUAUCAUUGUUUUGUGUUCCCCUCCUUCAUCAACCAAACAAUUCCACGUCAACUCAAACACGCAAAACCCCGGUAUGAAGCAUUGUCAUGAGCAUGCCAAACCAACAGAUGGCGAUAUAUUCCUUAACCCAGAGAAGCCACUCCAGUCUCGUCUUGCCAUGAACAAGGAAAAAGUGCGGGAGCUGACUUCACAAGCGUCCGUGGUUCAGGUCAUUGGCACUGCUGUAUCACAACAUAAUUUGCUGGCAUGUACAUCUAGGAUGCGGCCUAUCCAGAUGUGAUUCACUCCAAUGCCAGCAAACCGACAGUGGAAGACACGAGCCAGCACUUCUCCCCCCACAUUGCCUCAGGCUUUUCAGAUAACCACUUAUAACUGCUCCCCCUUCAUGAGACCGGAUGCUAUGUUGGGAUCACCGGGGCCUCCAUCGCCCGGCAUGUACACACUACAUCAGGUGUAGGUGAACAACAUCAGAGUGCGGCAGUCAGAGAUCCUAAAGAAGGACUCCAUAUGUUUAGCCGAGACAGUACACCGUACAUCUCUUAUGACGAGGAUAUUUGUGUCAGAACCGCUUUCCCGAUACUGACAAGGACAUUUAAGGUUCAAUGGACAACUUGCUUUCAAUGAAUGCAAUUAUGUGAGCUGCAGUCUGGAUCCUGCCUUUGUCAGAUGACCUAACACAAAUGGAAAGAUGACAUCGGCCCUUGCAAGGACUUCAGACGAUGCCAGCACUGGACUACAUACAGUGGUAAUCAUGGGUGCCCAAACUUGUGCAUAUCACUGUACUGAUAUAUACUAUACAAAUAAUAUUUUCAGUAGUCCGUGUCAAAUUUUAUUUCAAGGUAAGAUAGCUUUACAUGUCUUUCAUUGUGCUUUAGUGAUCACACAGGCCCUGUUUAUGUUCUUAACCGGCAUGACUUUAUUUAUUGUGAUAUACACAAAACAAGAUAUUUUGAUAAAUGAUGUUAAGUACACAGCUGCUCAUUUACUUCAAUAAAAUUUAUUUUUCCUAUUAUGGAAGUCAAUGGGUACCAUCAACUGUAUGAUAUCAUUUAUCAGAUUAAAGAAUUUUUGGCAAGUUUAUAACAACAUGGAAGGUGAGUAAAUGAUACAAUUAUAAUUUUUACAUAAACUUUUAGCUUUUAAGGAUUAUUUACUCAACCCCAUGUCACCCAAGAUGUUUGUCUUUCUUUUUUUAGCCAAACACAAUUAGAGUUAUAUUAAAUACUGUCCUGGCCAGUGGCGGCUCGUGACUGCUCUUCUGAGGGGUGCGAAUUCAAAAUAAGUGUUCAGAGUGUCAUGUGUGUUGCUCGUGUUUUCAAAAAUAUGUGUUUGUUGCGUCAUGUAAACCAUGUGCAUCACGUGUCUUGUCAAAAGAAGUGCCUGCUGCACACGCGUCAAAACCGUUUAUGAUAAAAGAGAUGCUCACGUUCACAAAAUACACACAACACAUUCACUUAACAUUAAACUCUGAUUACGAAUGAGAUAAUGCAGGUAUGUUUUAUCAUAAACCAUUCAGACGUGUGUGCAGCAGGCACUUAUUUUGUCAUGACAUGUGAUUCACAUGGGUUUAUGCGAUAGGCAUAACACAUAUUUUGAAAUGACGAACAACACACAUGACGGGCUACAUACAUGUUGGGAUGAGCUUCGCAUUGCAUUGUCUCGGAAAAUCGAGUCAUUGUCCGCCACUGGUCCUGGUUCUUCAAUGCUUAAUAAUGGCAUUUACUGGGCAUCAAUGUUUUGGAGUUCCAAAAGUGCAUCCAUCCAUCAUUAAAGUGAUCCAUAUAUAACCUAGUGGGUCUUCUGAUUCAAAAUGAUAGGCUUGUGAGAAAAACUUUAUAUUUUAAGCUUUAAUCGAGUUACGAUGCAUAUGUAAUGUAAACAGACUACAACAACUCAAUCGCAUUGUUUCUCACGUGUCUCUACUGUGUUUCAUCACAAUUCAUAUUAUGACUAGUCAUGAGAUACAUAACAUCCAAUGCGAAAACACAUGCCGCCAUAUUUAAAUUGUCUUUUUAACUUUGUAAAUGUCUUGUCUCUAUCACAAAAAGCUAUAAAUAUGAAUAGUUUUUCUCACAAACGUAUAGUUUCGUUUCGGAAGACAUUUAUUAAUCCAUUGGGUUAUAAAUGGAUUACUUUAAUGAUGGAUGGAUAUACUUUUGAGCUUUGAAAAACAUUGAUCCCAGUCAAUGCCAUUAUAAAGCAAAAAUAUAAAUACAAUAUAUAAAUGUAAAGAACCAGGAAAUUAUUUAAUAUAACUCUGAUUGUGUUUGUGUUCUGUUAAAAAAGUAAUAGAUAACUUCUUGGAUGGGAUGAUGGUAAAUAAUCAGUCAAUUUUCAUUUUGGUGGGAGAAGUAAUCCUUUAACUCAUUCGAGUCAUCAGACAGUCAUCUUGUUGCUUUGACUGAAUUCAGUUACAGAUCAAAAUCCCUGGUGGUAAAUCAACACUGCUCAGUCUUAUCUAUUUAAGUACACUGACGAUCCUGAAGGUGUGUUUAACAUUAAUAAAAUAAUGAAGUAAUGCAUAAAGUGAUAAUUGAACAUUACUGAUGAUGUGUGCUGUUAACAAUCAGAAGGGUAAAGAUAAACUAAAACAAAAAAACGACAAAGCAACAAGAUGACCUGGUUCAGACAACUCAACCCUUUUAAAAUGUAUUUUAUUUAACGGUGCAUUUUAUCCUUUAUCUUAGACAAAGCAGACCAUGUUAAUUUCAUUUAAUACAUUCUUGAACAAAUCUGGGUCCACUUAUCAUUUCUACUUACAAAUUAACAUUUCUGUUCUGCUCCGUUUACAGCGUUUGGGUGAGAUCUAGACCGAGGACUAAGGCGUAUACUAGGACAGAACUAAGUGUUGUGGCCCACAGGUGAUCCAAAAGCAACAAAGAGGAACCAUGGAGAGGAAGAAGUGGUGUCCAGAUGUUUAAAAGGCGGUGUUCGGGACAGGAAACAAAGGCAACAAAGAGGAACCUCUAAGGAUUAAAGGCACUGCUUGCAGAGACGAGUGUAGGAAACAAAGACAGAAGACCUGACGAGAAUGUUUUAUGAUUAAAUGUUUUUGUUAUGUACAUGCACGUUAUUAUUUACAAUAUAUUUCUAAGAUACAUAAGUAUGUGACCUUGUAUAUGAAAUCCAGGCUACUGUCUUAACAUCUAAUGACAUCUAAAGUUUGAAUUUACUGAUUUAACAUUGAGUUCAGUCUUUGGCAUGACCUUACUCAGUCAAUAUUGAAGAUGUCAAGAUUAUAUUUUCAGAGAAUGUUUUCUGUAUUGUGUAGGAUGAUUUUAUGUAGAAAACAGUAAGUCACAAAGAAAUACUUUACUGGGUUUUCACAGGCUGUGUCCCAUUUGUACAACAUAUGUGAAUUAUCUUGAGACUAAAACUUCUGAAAUCCAAACUGUUAUAUUUUAGCAUUUCAAAUGCAGUCACCCUUUGCAUAGAAUUUGAAAUAUAUACCCUUGAGUUUUUUCAGUAAUUUUUUGAGAUCUCACCCUAAAAUAUUUGUAAAGAAAUUUCCAUGUAUUAUGGGCUUGAAUUACUUAUUUUAUCAUUUUGUCCAAGUAAUUUGAAAAAAAAAAGUUUUAAAUUAAAUUGUAGUUCUCAAUUGAAAUAAAUGUAUAUGUUGAGACAUUUUUGUCGACAAACGUAAUUGAAUCAUAUACCUUAAGAGUAUAUUAUUUUGAAGGUUAUAAGAAAUAUUUUAGUUAAGUGUUUAAAAACGUUUACACAGUAGUAUAGCAGUGUAUAAUAGUUACAGAAUAUGUAAUUUAUGUGUGACAUCUAAAUAUUAUGUUACUGAUUUAUCCAAGUUGUUUAUGUGUUAUAUUUGUCAAAUGAAUAAAUUUGCAACGGUUAUUGA